rnacentral:lncRNA from 1 species
GAAGAGUGAAAAGAAAAAUGUCCUGAAAGAGGUCAGUCCUUCCAGGCUGUGGAAGAAGAGGGCCUUUGAUUUGACUGUUUGUCUGCGGCUGGCCGUGAUGGAGUGGAGAGCUUUCAGAUCUCUCAGCCCGUCCUGAGGAGGCAAGACUAAUAAAGCAGUGAAAGAGUUGCGGUGUACCAUUUGAGCUUGGCCCCCACAAGUCAGAAUUUUCUACUUGGAAAGUCUGGAGAAGCUCACCACCCCCAAGCUCAGAAUCCGAGGAGGCUGCACUGCACAUCAACAGUAGUAAAUGUAGUAGUAUCACACAGUUUAUGAUCAUUUAUAUAUUUUUGUUUGUUACUAAAUCAGUCAAAAACAUAGUACUGUCCAGGUUUUAGGUGUGGACACAUUUUUAU